UGGAGCGUCGUUUGUGUAGAGGCACAGUGCGCGGCAUUUGAACAGUGCUCCACAACUCUCCUUUACCCAAACUUAAACGGGGAAUAUCUCGUCAACGGGUUGACGGACGACAUACUAAAUGUCAACGCCAAAAAGUACUUAGACUCAUACUCUGUUUAUGCAUUAUAGUUAGCUAUUCGAAUUUACCUAUUCGUAAAUAUUUAAUAUUGAUCACCUUUAACAUAAAAUGACCAGGUACGUAACUGUUACAAACUAUGCCU